rnacentral:misc_RNA from 1 species
GAUGAAGAACGCAGCGAAAUGCGAUAAGUAAUGUGAAUUGCAGAAUUCCGUGAAUCAUCGAAUCUUUGAACGCACAUUGCGCCCGCCAGUAUUCUGGCGGGCAUGCCUGUUCGAGCGUCAUUACAACCCUCAGGCCCCCGGGCCUGGCGUUGGGGAUCGGCGGAAGCCCCCUGCGCGCACAACGCCGUCCCCCAAAUACAGUGGCGGUCCCGCCGCAGCUUCCAUUGCGUAGUAGCUAACACCUCGCAACUGGAGAGCGGCGCGGCCACGCCGUAAAACACCCAACUUCUGAAUGUUGACCUCGAAUCAGGUAGGAAUACCCGCUGAACUUAAGCAUAUCAAUAAGCGGAGGA